rnacentral:pre_miRNA from 1 species
AUUUUGUUCAUUUGGAUUAUGCUGAUGCGGAUACAUCCACUUGAACAGACUCA